rnacentral:rRNA from 1 species
AUUGAACGCUGGCGGCAUGCCUUACACAUGCAAGUCGAACGGCAGCACGGGUGCUUGCACCUGGUGGCGAGUGGCGAACGGGUGAGUAAUACAUCGGAACAUGUCCUGUAGUGGGGGAUAGCCCGGCGAAAGCCGGAUUAAUACCGCAUACGAUCUACGGAUGAAAGCGGGGGACCUUCGGGCCUCGCGCUAUAGGGUUGGCCGAUGGCUGAUUAGCUAGUUGGUGGGGUAAAGGCCUACCAAGGCGACGAUCAGUAGGUGGUCUGAGAGGACGACCAGCCACACUGAGACUGAGACACGGCCCAGACUCCUACGGGAGGCAGCAGUGGGGAAUUUUGGACAAUGGGCGAAAGCCUGAUCCAGCAAUGCCGCGUGUGUGAAGAAGGCCUUCGGGUUGUAAAGCACUUUUGUCCGGAAAGAAAUCCUUGGCCCUAAUACGGUCGGGGGAUGACGGUACCGGAAGAAUAAGCACCGGCUAACUACGUG